UUUCUAUUUUUUUCUUUAAAAUGUCAGCAGCCUCUGCUACAACAAACUCUCCAUUAACUGUGUCUUCAACAUCAGCUCCUUCAUCAUCUCCUGCCAAUACAACCUCCUCUACAACUGAAUCUCAAAAUACAACAUCUUCUGCCAAUACAAUCUCUUCUACAAAUGAGGCUCACACAACUGCUGCACCUACAAGUAAGUAAUGUAUAAAUAAAGUUGACUAUAUUUGGAGAGUUUUAGCAUGUUACAGUUAU
rnacentral:lncRNA from 1 species